GAGGUAUGAUAUUUGUUUCAUUUUCUAGAUUGAAUGCAAUACAGAUUGAGGAGAAGGAGAAAGGAAGAAGGAAAUUGUAAGUGAAAUAAUUGAAGAAGCGGAGGAAUACAAAGCAGGAAAUAAACUGUAAGUUGCAUUCUUCAUUCAUUUCACAUGGCUGAAAAUGAUAAUAUUGAUAAAGUAGCCGAUUAAAGUAUAGAUU
rnacentral:lncRNA from 1 species